CGUCAGCUCGUGUCGUGAGAUGUCGGGUUAAGUCCCUUAACGAGCGAAACCCUUAUCCCUAGUUGCCAGCGAGUCAAGUCGGGGACUCUAGGGAGACUGCCGGUGUUAAACCGGAGGAAGGUGGGGAUGACGUCAAGUCCUCAUGGCCUUUAUGCCUAGGGCUGCACACGUCCUACAAUGCAACAUACAAAGGGAUGCAAAAUCGCGAGAUCAAGCAAAUCCCAAAAAGUGUUGCUCAGUUCGGAUUGCAGGCUGAAAUUCGCCUGCAUGAAGCCGGAAUCGCUAGUAAUCGCGGGUCAGCAUACCGCGGUG
rnacentral:rRNA from 1 species